rnacentral:rRNA from 1 species
AUUGAACGCUGGCGGCAGGCCUAACACAUGCAAGUCGAGCGGGGUUUUCGGACCUAGCGGCGGACGGGUGAGUAAUGCGUAGGAAGCUACCCGAUAGAGGGGGAUACCAGUUGGAAACGACUGUUAAUACCGCAUAAUGUCUACGGACCAAAGUGUGGGACCUUCGGGCCACAUGCUAUCGGAUGCGCCUACGUGGGAUUAGCUAGUUGGUGAGGUAAUGGCUCACCAAGGCGACGAUCUCUAGCUGGUUUGAGAGGAUGAUCAGCCACACUGGAACUGAGACACGGUCCAGACUCCUACGGGAGGCAGCAGUGGGGAAUAUUGGACAAUGGGCGCAAGCCUGAUCCAGCCAUGCCGCGUGUGUGAAGAAGGCCUUAGGGUGUAAAGCACUUUCAGCGAGGAGGAAAGGUUGGCAGCUAAUACCUGUCGGCUGUGACGUUACUCGCAGAAGAAGCACCGGCUAACUCCGUGCCAGCAGCCG